ensembl:rRNA 5S_rRNA 5S ribosomal RNA
GUUUACAACCAUGCUACCCUGAAAAAGCCUGAUCCCAUCUGAUCUCAGAAGCUUGGAAGCUAAGCAAAGUUGGGCCUGAUUAGUACUUGGAUGGGAGACCACCUAGGAAGACUAGGUACUGUAGGCG